GGAAACUUUUUAUCGAUAAAGUAUAUUAUACAGAUUACUCCGCCUAUAUUGAUCAUGAUCAUUUCACUUUUCGAUCGUCGCCAUUUUGUAAGCGCCCUGCCUAAAAGUGUCUCAUGGACUUCAGCUGGAUUAAAUGUGUAUUACCCGGGAGGAAUUGUGAAGAACCAACCAGACAGCCCGCCCGCCGAGCUGCCCAACCGGCCAAGCUUGACUUGGAGUUUGUGCAUGCCAACAUGCCGCCAUGCUGUUGUUGGUUAGUACUUCAAGAUCAUAUAAUGGAAAACUGUAUCCAAACUGAAGUAUAAACCAGCCUGAUUGCUGUAGCCACAGGGGAAUUUUAAAGGACAAGAACCAGUGCUGGUAAAAAUGUGGUCUCAUGUGGUUUUCCAUACCGGCGUUCAGCAAGGAUUUCAGAGAAAGGAAUACUGUCUCCAAAUCAUGAUGUGCCAAUAAGCUCCAGUUUGCUGCGCCUUUUUCCUCCCACCGGUAGUCCUGCAAUCUGAAUCAAGGAGAUGCAGCUCUGAAUCCAAUAUUUUAGAAGAAUGAAUAUAAAACUGAAGCCUUCAGGAAGUCAAUGCCACCAUGAUAUUAAUUUACUCAGCUCUGAUGUACUCAGCUGUGAUGUAAAAUGCCUUCAAGCCACUAUCCGAAGAACAUUCAGACGUUCUAAAUGGACCAUUGCCCUGUUGCCAUGGAAAUCAUUAUGAGGAAGAGCACACAAACUGUCACUUGUUUUGAAUAUGAGAUGUACCACGAACUGACCAUAAACUUUUCGGAUGCUCUGUUUAUUUCAUCAGCCAAUUUCGAUGUAAAUUUUACUGAAUAAUGACAAACAGUCUUACUCAUAAGCAUCUCUUACUCAUUCGUAUUCCACAACUAAACAUGCUUGCAAUUACACUGUGCCAUCUAUCAUAAUAUAGCAAUGCUGCAAUGACCACAUUUUUAUGUACCAGUUGUUGCUUUAUACUGAAACCUUUAUUGAAAAUAAACAUAAACACUGACAACACAUAAAUGUUCCAUUCAUACAUUUGUACAUUUUCUUUCAGUGUAUAUGUUGAUAAUGUUAAGACAUAUUUCAUGUGCAUUUACACAUGUGUUUAUUGCCAACCUCAUAAAAACAUGCAAAGUUUGCUCACAUACAUAUUUCCAACACAGACAUUUACUGAAUGUAUUACUACUUUACGUUGAUUUUGAUAUGUAAAUAAAACAUUGUACUUCUCGUUUGUACAAAACACUUUUCAUUUGCUAUGUUGUUUGUUUCCAUGUUCUGUCUGCAUACAGAUGAUAUUUUCAUAUCAAUUUUUAGCUUGACUAUUCGUAGAAUAUGGAGAGCUAUACUACACACCCAAGUGUCGGCGUUGGCGUCACACCUUGGUUAAGGUUUUGUGUGCAAGCACACAUAGGUUAAUAUCUAAGUUACUUCUUGAGGUAUCGGAUUGAGACUUGAUACAAUGGUACUCAACCAUCCAACCUACUUAAUUAACCAAGUUAGAUAACUCUACUUUCCAUUUAAUGCAAAUUACCCGGUAUAGGCUUUUAUUAUUUGACUUAGAAAUUCUGGUUAAGGUUUUGCGUGCAAGCACACAUAGGUAAAUGUCUCAUAAGUACUUGAGGUAUUGCAUUGAGACUUGAUACAAUGGUACUCAACCAUCCAACCUACUUAAUUAACAAAGUUAGAUAACUGUAGUUUGCAUUUAAUCCAAAUAAUAGGACUUAAUUAUUCGACUUAGAUAUUCUGAUUAAGGUUUUGUGUGCAAGCACACAUUAUAUAAAUAUCAAAGCAACUACUUGAUGUAUUGCAUUGAUACUCCUACAAUUGUACUCAACCAUCAAACUUCCCCAUGUAAGAUAGCUCUAGUUUCAUUUAAUGCAAUUAGUUGCCCUUUAUUAUUCGACAUAGAAAUUCUAGUUAAAGUUUUGCAUGUAAGCACACAUAGGUAAAUUUCUCAGCAACUACACGAUGUAUUGCAUUGAGACUUUAUAGAAUGGUAUUCAACCACUCAAUGUCAUUGAAUAACCAAGAUAUAUAACUGUAUUUUGCAAAUAAUUGCCCUUUAUUAUUAGACAAACAUUCUGGUUGAAAAUUUCCUAUAACCACAUUUAUGUUAAAAUCUCACCACAUGAAUUGCAUUGAAAUCUUAUCUUACAGCGAUCCAUGCAUGUUUCGCCAAAACUUUUUAAUCCUUCCACUGAACAGCAGCGGAAUAGUCAAGCCAGCUGUCUCUGUGACAGCUCUUGUUCAAAAUUAACGUGAUGUUUAUUUCCAAUGUGAAACCUAUCCCUUGAGAACAAUAUUAACAUCUUUUAGCAUACAUGCCUGGAUGAGUUUUAAAAAAUGACCAUAUUAUGCAUACUAACUGCAUGAAAAUAUACAAUGACAUACAUUUCGUAUCAACUUGUGUAUCUGUAUUUCCCUUUCAACUACUUCGAAAUAACAAACGUCCCAACCCUAGAAUGUUCAAACAUAUUCUACAUACAUUAUUUUUAUCUUACACUAUAUAUAUAUGUUCUAUAUGUAUAUAUCACGCCUAAUAAAAUUGAAGCCUGUCAACUCA